UACGGGGGGGCAAGCGUUGUUCGGAAUUACUGGGCGUAAAGGGCGCGUAGGCGGCCCGCUAAGUUGAACGUGAAAUCCCUGGGCUCAACCCAGGAACUGCGUCCAAGACUGGGAGGCUUGAAUCCGGGAGAGGGAUGCGGAAUUCCAGGUGUAGCGGUGAAAUGCGCAGAUAUCAGGAAGAACACCUAUGGCGAAGGCAGCACUCUGGGACGGUACUGGACG
rnacentral:rRNA from 1 species